CGUGAGCAAUCUGCCUUUGGAUGGGGGAUAACAGCCGGAAACGACUGCUAAUACCGCAUAAUGCAGCAGGACCACAUGAUUUUGCUGCCAAAGAUUUAUCGUCCAAAGAUGAGCUCGCGUCUGAUUAGCCAGUUGGCGGGGUAACGGCCCACCAAAGCGACGAUCAGUAGCCGGACUGAGAGGUUGAACGGCCACAUUGGGACUGAGACACGGCCCAGACUCCUACGGGAGGCAGCAG
rnacentral:rRNA from 1 species